rnacentral:tRNA from 1 species
GUGCCUAUAGCUCAAUGGUAGAGCGCCUGCCUGUGGAGCAGGUUAUAUGGGUUCGAUUCCCAUUAGGCACCCA